GUGAGUUGUGACAACCGUCCCGGCCCGGCUCCGAGCACAUGGGCGUUGGAAAGAAGUGACCUUGUGCUCUCGGUGCUAGGGGCCAAGGCUGGGGCGCUUCCGCACGCACGUCCAAGGCGGAGCCCAGGAUCCGUGCUCAACUCGGGGCUGGAUGAGGAGAUUCGUCCUGAUGCCUUUGAGGUGUAGCAAAACGGUUCAGCCGUUCCGUCAAACACAGUACUACAGUACUCCCAGAGGGAGUGCAUUUUUUUUUUUUUUUUCCUUUCUGUUCAGCUUCAAACCGCCUUUGGAUCUGGUUCGCUGAGCUUUCACUUCUGUCCACCAGGGAGCACAUCUGCCAGCAGUACUCGAGGGUAUUACACCAGCAAGAAAGUGAGUGGAGCUGAGCAAGUUUAUGAUUGCAAAGAGAUGGACAAAUGUUGCUGGACUGAAUGAUAUUGCAGAGUAUUAUUUAACUAUGAAGUAGGAUGCAGAGGAAUUUUCAUGACUCAUUUCAAGACAAGACUGAAUUUAAAGACAGUAUCUGCAGCUAAUCUACUAAGAGUGGAAAGAAAGAAGUACCUUCCAGCUAGAAACAUUUACCUCACUAUAAUAUCUGCCAAGGAUGCCUCCCUCCAAAAGAAGUUAUGUAUGUGUGAUCCGUCAGUGUAAUCUGCAGUGGAAAGGUACUAAGUGAGGGUUAGCAGACCCCUUGCCAGCCUGUCACCACCGGUAUCUGCUGGUGGUAAUCCUAGGAUGGGCACUAUACCAGCUGGCUGCCCUGAUAGUGAGAACUUGGCAGAGAUUGACCAGCCAGCUACCUUCAGUAACAUUCUUAUAAUUGGAUUGGAUCUCUUGUCUCACAGUAUCAAAUAGAUAAAGUAAUGGAAACCAAAGCUAAGAAUAGAGGACAAACAGGAUCAAAAAUAUGCUUCAGUUCAUCUCCCUCAGAUGUAUUAUACACCUCCUCUGACUUAGAGACUUGCAAAGAGAACCCUCCUUGUGCCUUUGUGCAGUUACCAUGAUCACCCUUCUAGCAGAAAAAAAUGGACUCUAUUGUGUUUGUAGACACCUUAGCUGCAGCUCAUUCUAUUGCUGGUGUUUUCUCACCUAUGCCUGUAUUCUGGCUCAGGGUCAAUCUGCAAGUAUCUAUUCAUGCUUUGCAUUUGAUGUCACACAAAAUUUUGGUCAGCUUACAGAGUAGCAUGGGUUUCUUACCUCUGCAGAUUCCAAUAUUAGAAACAGUUAUUAAGUGGAAGCUCUUUCACAAGUCCUUCUACCCUGUUUAGUUGUUAAAAAGUUAGGCCUAUGUUACUCCUUAUGAUGAUGUCACAGAAGGAAGUGACCAGACUAAUCAUUCUGUCAUGAACAUGGACUUUUCUGGUCUUCAGGAUAUGGGUUUUGUUCUGAUUUGUGUCUCUGGAUCUGAUUCACGUUCUCCUUCUGAAUUUUUACUGUUGCAAAACUAUGUACUUGCAAUUGAAAAGGACUUUCGAAUCCUCUGUGGCUGCCAAUUAAACCCAGGUUUGUUAUGGUACUCUCUGAAUGUCUACCUGGUAGCAGCUCUCUAUUUUACCCUACCUUGCUGCUGUGUAACACUCUGGUGAAAGUGGACUGAUUGCAACAAACAGAAAGCAUGGUUUAUUCCAAACCUUUCUGAGAAGCACAGAAGUUUUGUAGUUCCUGUCCCAUCUGCCUGGCUAAUAACAUUGUCUUGCAUAUUAAAAGAACUCCUGUAGCACGUUCCAAACCUUGAGGUCCUUUUGUUAAUGUACAGACAGUUUUCAUCCAAAUGCCUAAAUGUUCUUACGAAGAACAUGUAUUUGUAAUUUUUGACAUGUUCUCAGGAUGAGAUAAACUGAGGCUUAUUCCUGCUAACAUUCUGGUGCCACUGCAGCGGCCAAGAAACUCUUAGAGAGCCAUAAUACCUUGAUUUGGUGUUUCUCUUACUUUAUGUAGUGAUUGAGUCUUUCAUUUCAUGAACCAAGUGAUUAAGAAUAAUUACAAAGUUUUAAUCAUUAGUCAGCAUUUGCACUGCACCUGCCAUCCUCAAUCCAGAGGUGCAGUAGAAAGAAGAAACUCUGACUUGGCAUGGAAGUCAGCUAAAAUAUAAAAAAAAAGAACUGAAAAGGACAGAGGCACUGCUGCUAGCAUUGAUGCAUAUGUGAAGUACAGCAAAUGGGAAACAUCAUCUCUUUCCUCAUGAAAUUCCAAUAUAUCUUCCUUAUUCUACACCUGAAGCACUGCAUAAACCUGACCUAUGAUUCAGUAUUAAACAUUGUGGAGUCCUGAUGAAACAUGUAAGAUCUGUCCAUUCACAAGUAAAGGAAGCUUUUCCAGGGCAUGUCUGCAAGAUGCCUCACUUUCUGAAAUGAGAAGACUGGGUCAACAUGGCCCAAGAUGUACCAACAAAAGAACUCUCUCUAUUCCAGGCAGAAAGUACCACAUCAGGUACUCGUAAUCAUCAACUCUACCGUCACAUAUGAUGUGCCACUGGGUACGUGCAUCUCAGCUAACAAAACAAUGCAGAGAAAGGUUCUGCCUUCACUAAACAGAACACAGAUCUUGGAUCCUAAACCUUCUUAUCUGAAUCUGAUUUUGUAAUUUGUCUGUGGUCACAAAGACAAAGGCUGAUUAUUCAAUCUCCAACCAAGCAAAUUAGACACAUUUUGAAUGGCUUAUUUGAUCACUGGGUUUAUUUUAAAAUAGCAUUUGAAUUAGUUUCCACAGUUUACAGUCAUCCAAGCUGAAUACACUGUAAACACUUAAAAUGAACCUCUAACCCCUAACCAGAAAAUUCUUAGACCACAUUCUAUAAGGACAAGAAGCCUAUAGAAUGUGGAGAGUUAACUUUUUCCUUAAACUUUCAAAUCAGUUCGUUAUUGCAGCAAGUCAUAGAAUUAUAGAAUCAUAGAAUCAUAGAAUCACAAGGUUGGAAAGAACCUACAAGAUGGGAGAGCUGACCACUGGUCAGGAGUCAAAGUUAUUUGGCUUACCCUGUUAUAUUUACCAUUGCCAUCUGAAAUACAACUUAUUACAAGACAUUGCCCACCAGUAAUCCACCUUGCUUCUGUCCUGCUUACAUGACUAUUAUCCUAUUUCUUUUCCAAAGUAGAGUUAGGUGGUUUGGAGUAAAUUGUGAUGAAGACAGGUAGUUGUAGCAAAUGUAAACAAAGCAGUGAGUAACUUGUGAAUUAGGAUUACCUGCAAAAGAGAGCAGUGGCCUUGGAUUCAAAUACUACUUGCUAGUGGGCUGAAAGACAGCAAUGACAUCACAGCAGAGCUGUAGGAUAUAAAAAUCCACUGUCUUAGAACAAUAUGCAUACAUUUGUCCUGUAGUUGUAUGUAUUGCCUCACAUGUAUGAGAACUACCUCAAGGCAGACAAACAUGCGACAGUGGUUGUUUUACUGCCCUGGCAAUUACUAAUUAAUUUGUCAAACAAGAAGCUCAAACAUUAAGACUGUCAUAAGUGUCUCUAUCCAAAAACAGCAGGAAAGCCUUUAGAUAAAAGUGCUGUUUGUUAUAUCUACACAUUGAUAACUGAAAAUGGGUUUACAUAUCUGACAUUCUCUAAAUCAA